rnacentral:rRNA from 1 species
AGCGGACAGAUUGGGAAGUUGCUUCCCUGAUGUCAGCGGCGGACGGGUGAGUAACACGUGGGUAACCUGCCUGUAAGACUGGGAUAACUCCGGGAAACCGGGGCUAAUACCGGAUGCUUGAUUGAACCGCAUGGUUCAAUUAUAAAAGGUGGCUUUUACUUACCCUUUCCGAAGGACCCCCCGCCCAUUUACUAAUUUGUUAAGUAACCGCUUCCCCAGGGCACCAUUCCUAACCCAACUGAAAAGGUGAUCCGCCACACUGGG